AUGCUUAGAGUCUUAGAUCUACAUGAUGCCAAUUUUGUAAUCGAACAAAAAGAUAUCUGCACCAUAGGGUCGUUACGUCAUUUGAAAUAUGUCCACGUUGGUGGAAGUGAAAAUUAUAUUUACAAGCUCCCAAGAACCAUAGGGAAACUACAAGGCUUGCAGACUUUGGACAUGAGGAAUAGUCAUGUCACAUCACUACCAACUGAGAUCACUAAACUACAAAGCCUCUGUAGUCUCCGUUGCAGUAAAGAUAGUACAGAUGGUAAUCUAUACUUGGUUUACCCUAUGAUCUGGUUAAUGUCCACAUUCCGUAUGCCUAUUAUGUUCACUCCUUUAGUUAGUCCAAAUGAGCGUCCAGGCAUUAUGAUGGGCAUUCACAUGGCCUGGACUGGUCGUUUGACAAACUCUGAAGGUGUGAGCGUGCCCAAAGGGAUCAGCAACCUAAAGAAGUUAGAGAUACUAGAGAUUGUGGAUAUUGAACGGACUAGUAGGAAAGCAGUUAAAGAGCUCGGGGAGCUUAUAAUGCUCAGAAAGUUAAGUGUCAGAGUAGGGGCAAGCAAGCAAAAGAGCAACAUACUCUGUACAUCCCUUGAGAAGCUCACUUCCCUCCGCUCUCUUUGUCUCCGUGCGGAUGUUAGUACAUCUGGGAGAAGCUGUGCAUCACUCAGGUGGCUGUUGCAUUCUAUUUCCUCACCUCCCCCUCUCCUGCGGAAGCUGGAUUUGGAAGGAGAUCUCAGGAAGUUACCUGGCUGGUUUGGGGGUCUGGUACAUUUGGUGAAGAUUCAGUUGAGUUGGAUCAAUCUGAAGGAUGGUGACAAAAGCAUGAAAUUACUAGGCGCACUGCCCAAGCUCAUGCUCCUUUCUCUUGGUCGGAAUUCUUUUGUUGGGGAGAAACUGGUUUUCAGGGCAGAAGCAUUCCCAAGUCUCAGGAGAAUUGACAUUUGGUGCCUGAUGCAACUGAAAGAGUUGACAUUUGAGGUGGGCACCUCUCCCCUGUUGGAAAAUAUAGAAAUCAUAGUCUGCAUGUUGGAAUCAGGGAUUAGUGGUAUCAAACACCUUCCAAGACUGAAGGAGAUCCAUCUGCUAGCUACUAGAGUUGCCAGGCUUUGUGUGCUGGAAGCUGAUGUCAAUGCACACCCCAGCCAUCCAAUGCUGCGACUUUCUGGGAACCGAAGCUUACUUGACCUGGAUCAGCACAUCGUCGAAGUAUCAGGUGUACAAGCAGAAGCAACGGGAGAGCCAUCCGUUCCGGGGCCUGCAGAGGGAGAGGGCUCACAAGAGGCGGCCAUGCCGACCACGAGCGACAGCGAAGAUGACCUGCGCUGA
rnacentral:rRNA from 1 species